AUAAUGCACAAUUUACAUAAUAACUAUUAAUUAUAUACAUUUUAUUUUCAGCAAUAAAAUGAAGCAUGAACCUGCUUCUAUAUGUACAAGGAUAUUUACAUCAAAGAAUUGGAAGUACACACGCACACCCUUCUUUCUUUUUAUUAGUAUCUUACAUCACAUAAUAAUAUCGUUAUUUCUAGACGUUGAGUAUGGGGGGAAGACAACGGAGAAAACUCCCAAGUCAAGAAAUGAUUUAGAAGCCAAGAAACCCAUCACUUCUAGCGCUUUAAAGCUUAACCAUUAUGGUUCCUUCAUCGUUAACAGUCCUGCUUGUCAUAUGUUCAUACUAGCUAAAACAGAACAUUAGCCAAUCCUCUUCAGCAGCAAUCAAUCAACUAUGCCACCUACUGUCUCUUUUUUUUUUUUGUUCCUUCUUUUUUGAAGCUUUUCACUUUCAUAUCUUCCACAAUACCUUUAACUUUAUACAAUAUAUCUUUCAUUAUUCAUUCAAAAGGACAGAUUCUUCCAGAAGAUCCAGCUGCAGCAAACGAAAGAACUAUUUGCAGCUAUUAGCAGCAGUGAAUGUCAGUUGUUCUGGAGCGCAGAGAGCCACUUUUCCAUAUACUUUAUGCUCUCUGCACAUUGAGGUAAAACAGAAGAAAGUAAAAAAGAUUAACCACUAAAUUUGCUUCCACAAACCACUUAGAUGACUAUCGCAACUAAUAUAACAUCAAGAAAUAAGCAAAUGAGAAGCAAAAAAAAGAACAUUGAGAGUUAAGAAAUUGUACAGGGACUAGGGAAGUAGGAUCUAGUCUUUUUUUGUUAUGUGAAGGCACAUUCAAUUGCAGAUGACGUGAUGACCCUAUGAUAACUCAGUGAUUGAAGCAUAAACAUGAAACACAGAUAAAUGUAAUCUUGAGAUGAAUACAGAGACAUUUCAGAAUAGGAUGCGAGGGACCACAAUGGCAAUUCAUUGGAAAGUGAUUAACCAUGGAAGUAAACCACAGCAAGUUCAAAAAUUGGGAGGAUCAAAAUUUAAAUGGAACAAAUUAUAUUUAUACCGCCAAGCAACUUUUCCACAACCAAAUCAACAUGCAUUGAACUUCCACAUGCUAACAAAAAACAACAAUGCAUAUGACAAUAUAUCAACAUACGAGUUCCUUCAGACCUUAUAGCCUUGUAGGGGGGAAAAGCUUACCAACCACCUAGUAAGAUAUGCCAGUUUUGGAUAAUCCAUCCUUAUAAAUUUAUGGAUAGUUAGAGUUCAUAUACUUGGACAUGUAUGGUUCAGAUCUAAAAAUAACAAGAGGCUAGAACUUGAGGCUGAAUUGGGGUUGAAGUGAUUGAUUUUUGAGGCAAAACAAAUGGUUGUUUAGUUCUCGAAUCUCAUAUUCCACUUGCAGGCAUCUCUGGCUGCAGGAAACUUUUGGGUUUUAAUGAUUCUUUCAGGUAAUUAAUUGACAGGCAAAUUCUGGAUACAAGCAAGGUGUUCUAGGGUUCUUAUUGGUGUGUUCAUUCGCUGGAAUUUUGGUUUUGGAAUAUUAAAGGCCUGAUUUGGUGGUUGUCCACUAUGCAAGUGAAUAGUAACCAAGACAUUUCAGCAGCAGGUUUAAAGAUCAAGAAAAGGGAGCGAAAAGAAGAGGAACUAUCAUGGACCAUUCAAUUCUAGCACAACAAACUUUAACCAAAGUUUCACAAGAAGUAAAUUAAAUUUAACAAGAUUAGGAACCAUAGCUUAUUUGGAAAUACAAAGAACACCAUU
rnacentral:misc_RNA from 1 species